rnacentral:lncRNA from 1 species
AGACCUUAGUGUCCUGCUGAAUACAACAGGUGUAGUAGACCUUAGUGUCCUGCUGAAUACAACAGGUGUAGUAGACCUUAGUGUCCUGCUGAAUACAACAGGUGUAGUAGACCUUAGUGUACUGCUGAAUACAACAGGUGUAGUAGACCUUAGUGUACUCGAAUACAACAGUGUAUGACCUUAGUGUCCGCGAAUACAACGUAUGUAACCU